rnacentral:rRNA from 1 species
UACGUAGGUGGCAAGCGUUAUCCGGAAUUAUUGGGCGUAAAGAGCGCGCAGGUGGUUAAUUAAGUCUGAUGUGAAAGCCCACGGCUUAACCGUGGAGGGUCAUUGGAAACUGGUUGACUUGAGUGCAGAAGAGGGAAGUGGAAUUCCAUGUGUAGCGGUGAAAUGCGUAGAGGUAUGGAGGAACACCAGUGGCGAAGGCGGCUUCCUGGUCUGCAACUGACACUGAGGCGCGAAAGCGUGGGGAGCAAACAGG